rnacentral:rRNA from 1 species
UUGCAGUUAAAAAGCUCGUAGUUGGAUUUCGGUUGAGAGCGGCCGGUCCGCCGUUUGGUGUGCACUGGCUGGUUUCAACUUCCUGCGGAGGACGCGCUCUGGGCUUAACGGUCUGGACGUGGAGUCCGCGUGGUUACUUUGAAAAAAUUAGAGUGUUCAAAGCGGGCUUACGCUUGAAUAUUUCAGCAUGGAAUAACACUAUAGGACUCCUGUCCUAUUUCGUUGGUCUCGGGACGGGAGUAAUGAUUAAGAGGAACAGUUGGGGGCAUUCGUAUUUCAUUGUCAGAGGUGAAAUUCUUGGAUUUAUGAAAGACGAACUUCUGCGAAAGCAUUUGCCAAGGAUGUUUUCAUUAAUCAAGAACGAAAGUUGGGGGCUCGAAGAUGAUUAGAUACCAUCCUAGUCUCAACCAUAAACGAUGCCGACUAGGGAUUGGCGGAUGUUAAUUGAUGACUCCGCCAGCACCUUAUGAGAAAUCAAAGUUUUUGGGUUCCGGGGGGAGUAUGGUCGCAAGGCUGAAACUUAAAGGAAUUGACGGAAGGGCACCACCAGGCGUGGAGCCUGCGGCUUAAUUUGACUCAACACGGGGAAACUUACCAGGUCCAGACAUAGUAAGGAUUGACAGAUUGAGAGCUC